ensembl:lncRNA
UCUUCCUAUAUUUACUUUACAGUAAACUCUAUCUAUACUUCUGCAUGGCUCCCUUGUGUCUUGAGUAAAAUUUUUCAUCAAGGUCACAAAGAAUGAAGAACCAAGGAAAUGAGUAGCGAGUUCCUCUUUGCAUCAGGACCUGGCUUCUUAGUGACAAUACAAAAAAAAUUGUAUUAUAAUAUUUUUUUGUGUUGAGAAACUAAUUCCCCUCAACAUGUUUAUUAUUAGUUCAGCCUUUAUUAAAAUAUUUUACAGGAUUAUUUUAUGAUAUAAUUGAUAGAACAUAACAUGACUUCUUAGGGGGAAAAUUAGGGUAAAUGGUGUUUUUUUAAAACAAACAAACAAACAAACACUGAUUUACUUUUGUUAAAGGAUUAUGCCUCAAGAGGCACAUGGGAAGAGACCUGGCUGUUAUUUUAGUUGCUCACCAGGAAGAUGUCUCCAAGUCAAAUACCAGUGGGUGUUCAGCUUUCCUUGUAUAAUCAGGCUCUUUUUAUUAGCUCCACACCAAAGAGGUCUGCUCACCCCAUCUAUCCAUCAUCUCUUACAACACCGAGCAUUUCCUAUGUGCAUAACCCUGAGCUCAAUGUUGAAAUCCAGCAUUGAAGAUGGCCAGUGAUUCCUGCCAUCCUGUUCUAGGAGAUGAGACAGACAUUAAAUGACUGAUAACCUCAUUAAGUAUAGGGCCUCCUGGAAAGUCACUGAAGUGAAAACUCAUUUGCAGUUCUGUGAAGCACUCCUAAGAACCAGGAAUGGAAGUUUUGUCCCAGAGAUGCCAACCAUCAACACUAUGUAUAAGAGGAGGAAGAUGCUGGAAUCGUUGCCACCCAGGCUGAUUUGAAAAUCACAUUUCAGAACGAAAACAAAUGACCCCUUUUGACCCCUGGGAAAGUAUGCUUGUGACUUCAGCUGCCUACUUCAGAAUUUGCACAGUAAGCCAUAUCUUUACAACUGGUGAAGAUUUGCUGAGAAAAUCUGGGAUGAAUGCAAAUCCCCAUCAAGCCUCCGUAAGGCCCUAGAGGUGACAUUCCAUACUGGAGGCUGUCAGCACUAUCAGUGGACACUGGAAGCUGCCUGUACCACCGCUACAGGACACCAGAUGUUGCCACCAGGGGAGUGAGAUUUCAACUGUUGCUACUGCUUAGUAACAAUGACUCCAGACUAAGAACCCCCCACAGAGCACUUGGUUCACCAAGCUUAUGACUACGAACCACAGCUGCCAGAGCACUAAAGAAACCAUUAACUCAUCAUCUCUACCUCCUUUUCAGCUUCUGUAUUAGAAGAUGGGGCUCCAAAGCUCACGACACAGAGAUUCCACAAAUGAAAGAAGCGUUGAGAUACCAGGAAGAUAUAUUUUGGCAGGUCAAGCGCUCAGACUGGGUAUUCCAGAUGAAGUUAUUAAUUCAGAUCCAGUUGAAGAAGCAAUCAGAUUCACCUAGAGAAUUUUAAGAAGAUAAUGAUAAAAGUGGUACAAAUUGAGAACAAGGUGCUGGAAAAGAAUGUGCAUUCUUUACUUGAUGUAUGUGAGAUACUAUUUCUAAUCAAGUGGGUAAGUACGUUAGUCGAGUUUCCUGUAUACUCCUGUGGAUGCUUUACCUAUAGUCCUGCCCAUGUCUGGUGAUCAGGAUCAGUCACACAUGCCAGGGUGGUGACUCCCUGGGCACAAAGAUCCAUAAGUGACUGAGUGCAUCCACAGCUUAGGGGAUACUUAUUGUGUCCCUUGGGCAGUGUUUCCUGUCCAAGAACCAGGGCUUCUAGAUCUUAGCAAGUCAGUGGCUUGUAUAGAAGCAAAAUUCCCCAAGUGGGCCACUGGCAAAGGUGACAAGAAGGACCACCUCUACUUCCACUCUUUGGUCUCUAUAACCCUAUAUUCUACCUAGGGAACAUGAUGCCCUAUCAUGGUUAUUUAUCAAACUGCAUUCCGGAGGAUGCUGCCCCAGCCUCAUGGGGCAUUGCCAUAAAACUGACGCCUUAGCAGUAUCUCCAAAAACAUAUUCCAUUGCUCUAUUAGGAAGGCCAGUGGCUUCUGGGCGGCAUAGUAUGUGAUUAGACUAAGCAAUCCUGUGACCAUACGCCCACCUCUGUGCCUCUUUUGUCCUAAAGUUUGUCCUUUGGUCUCUGUCAGUUAAAAGGGCUGAAAACCAAGACCAGACCAGGCCACUGUAAGACUGAAGGGCUUACCAAACGCUCCGAGGAGCUGACUGCAGCAAAGAACACAUGGGAAGGAACACACUGGACAAGUUGGAAAGUAAAACAGACCUUAGUCUGGCCAGACAGCACUCCCAAAGCAAAGUACUUAGAGAGGAGACCAGCCCAGAGUCCAAGGCUCUUUUUAUAGGGAGUUGCAGGGCAAGUUAACAGGUGAAAUUUACAGAAGAGGAACAAAGGUUAGUGGUCAGCUGACACGUACUGAUGGUCAGCAGAUGUUUGUAGAUUGUUCUAUAGAUGGCAGUGUCCGGAACAUCAGUUUCAAACAAAGAGUUGAGUAAUUUACUUUGGGACCUUAUGGCUGAUACAGAUCUUAUCUAGUGUCCCUAACUAACAAGCAUCUUUAUCUAUUUACUCACAUUCAAUCACAGUUGGGGCUAGGGGAGUUUUAUGACUACAGAGUUAUGCAGUCCCACACCACAACAAGCCUUUAUUAGGGGAAUAGAUCUGCCAGGCUGUCUCUGAACAAAGGAGAGACAAAAGCAACAUGGCCGGGGCAGGGAGAGUCUUUUAUAGAGACUGGAGUGGGGCUUGUAGGGGCUGAGGUGGGGUUGAGUGAGGUAGUGACUAGGGAGCGGAGGAGCCAGUGACAUCACUAGGUGGUAGGAGGUGAGCGAGUAUUAGGUUACUCUCUAGGUGGGACCAGGGGCAUGCUAGGAAGAAGGGUUUGUUCUUUGGUGGGAGCAACCAUCUUGGCGUGAUGUCACCCAGGGGAGGGAGCAAGGCACAAUAGGAAGAGGGCAGCUACUAUACAUAAUAGCUGCUGAGGUGGUGGGAGACCUAUCAGUCUCGUGCAAUAUUAUGUGAGUCCUGCAUCCCUGGCUCAGGUUCCAAGUGUUUGGAAAUGGUGCCGAAACUGUGCAGUCAGGAAAGGAGAGCCUAUAUCUGGAAUAUAUGUCAGUUCCAGUCAAAAUGGAUCGUGGAUCCUCCCGGAUAGAAGCGCUCUGAUAUAACUGCCUUACCACCGAGCAUAGAGUCCCGGCAUGCGGAAUGCAGCCUUGGUCUCUGGCCAGCAGUCUAUUCAGCAAUGAGAUCAUCCCUGGUGAGGAGGAGUCCGUUCUGCUCAGUUCAUGCAUAACUCCAUCCACUCUUGUUAUUCACCACUCAUGCCAGCACUACAGGAGGCCCAGCACUGACCAGAUGGUGACUACUCUGUACUUGGUUGUUUAUUUAUCUUCUGUAGUAGGCAUUCUCUGGAGGUCAUUGGCCAGUGAUACAUAGUUGUUCAAACUUCUUGCUCACUCCUGUUGGCCCAUCCCUCAAUUUUCCAUUUUUGCUGUCCCUUGCCUUCCACUAUUUCUAUUUUCAGGCCCUGUUUGAAAACAGUUGGAGGUGUUGGCUGCCACCCAUCUAGUCUUACCUCAAGCCAAGUUGCUAAUCCAAGUACUGUCUUCUUCUACUCUCUGCCAUGGAAAUCCUAGCAUUUCUACUUCACUAAAUGUGUGCCUUGAUUUUCUCUAAGCUUGCAAGAGUCAGCCCAGCAUUGUCUUAGCAAUGUCUCCUGGAAUGGCAAGGCACUGAAUCCUGCAUCAGAUAAGCACUUGCAUGUUUACAGACUCUAUCAACGGAAGUUUUUGACCUGGGCCCCUCAGUGCAUUGUAUACACCCCCAGUUUCUGCAGAUAAGUGUUGGCGACUUCCUACAGUUCUGAAGACAAACGCCCUUUUCUCCCUUAGUAGUCUCAGCACUUCCCUGGAUAGAUUAUUUGGGAGUUUACCUCUGAUUAUCAUUCAGAUGGCCAGGAGGGAUGUUAGGGCUGUUUUCUGAGGUGGGAAUGUAUUGUUGUGCAAGCCAGAAGCCUCUGAAUUGCCCUGAGCAAGGUGGGGAGCAGAAGUGUUGAGCAGGGCUGUCCAGGCCACCUCUGCAGGCCCAAACCAUUCAGGGGGACCUCAGAGUUUCAGAUUUCCAAAUUCAUUGACCCAAAUGUCCCCAUCCUAAUUUUUCCCCACCAAGACCCUAAGCUACACAUAUAAAGAUGCCAUGAGAAUUCAACCUUCUCUAGAAUCCCACCUCUGCUAUAAUUAAGUCCUGAGUCUGACCACUCUUUGUUUCCCCUGUGACUACAAGAAAUGACUCCUUCAUAUGCUGCCAGGGAAGUUCUCUGAUGUUCACAGUGCAUCUUACAUUGUGAAGGUAAUUAAUCACCUUCACACCUUUUAUUAUAUUUCUCUAGUACAAAAAUAGCCCCCAGCAACAGCCAUCUGAUUUCAUUUAAUUACAACUUCCUAUAAACCUCUCAAAUGCCUGAGAUAUUACCCUCAUUAUCCUCUACCAAUAUCCCAUCCCAACUUCUCCACCAGUAAAGCUUUUGCAGUUAUAGCAUGCCAGGGACUAUGAAUACUCCACUUUCCACCA